rnacentral:rRNA from 1 species
AUUGGAUAAUUUAUUUAAUUUAAAAGUAGGUUUACAAGAGAAUUAAUAGAAAUAAUUAAAGUGGUUUAAUUAGUUUUGGAAAGAAUUAAAUUUAUUAUAGAGAAAUAGUAUUGUGAAAGAAUGAAAGAAGUUUAUUUAAAAGAAAAAUUAAGGUUUUGUACCUUGUGUAUCAGGGUUUAUUAAAUAAGAUUUAGUGUUUUAAGUUUCCCGAAUUUAGAAGAGUUAUGAGUUUAUAUUUUUUAUUGUGGAAUAAUUAUUAUGAAUAAAUUUAUUGAAGUGAAAUGCUAUACGAUUUUAAAUUUAUCUGGUUUUUCAAGAAAGAAGUUUAAUUUUUUACUUGUUUAAGUAUAGGGUUAUUUAGCUAAUUUUGUAUUUGCAUGUUGGAAUAUUCUAGGGGAUGAGCUUUGGAAUAAAGAAAUAAAGUUAUGGAGGUUUAGUUUUAAUAAGUAGAAUUGGAAGUUUUUUUCUUUAAUAGUGUUUUAUUACUGGUUAUUUUAUAAUUUAGAUUUUUAUUUAAUUUAUGUUUUUUAUUGAAAUUAAGGUUUAAAUUUUUGAUAUUUUGAAAUAAUGGUAAAAUUAGUAUAUUAAUUUGUAAAUAUGAAAUUUAAUUGUUAGGUUAGGUUAAGGAAUUCGGCAAAAUAAAUUUUCACCUGUUUAUUAAAAACAUGGCUUUUUGAGAAUGAUUUAAAGUCUGACCUGCCCAAUGAGUAGUUGAAUGGCCGCGGUAUACUGACCGUGCAAAGGUAGCAUAAUCAAUAGUUUCUUAAUUAGAAGCUUGUAUGAAAGGUUGGAUGAGGGAUUUACUGUCUCAGCCUUAAUUUAAUAGAAAUUUAUUUUUAAGUAAAAAAGCUUAAAUGUCUAUAAAAGACGAGAAGACCCUAUAGAGUUUUACAUUUAGAGGAAUUUAUAAUUUUAGUAUUUAUAAUUUAUUUAUUUUUCAUUAUGUUUGACUGGGGUGGUCGAAAAACUAAAAAAACUUUUUUUUCUUGAAACAUUUAUUUAUGAAUAGUUGAUCCUUUGUUUAAGAUUAAAAGAUUAAAUUACCUUAGGGAUAACAGCGUAAUUUUUUUGGAGAGUUCUAAUCGAUAAAAAAGUUUGCGACCUCGAUGUUGGAUUAAAAUUUAAGUUUGGUGUAGAAGCUGAAUUAUUUAGGUCUGUUCGACCUUUAAAAUUUUACAUGAUCUGAGUUUAAACCGGUGUGAGCCAGGUUGGUUUCUAUCUUUAUAAAUUUUUAAUGUUUUAGUACGAAAGGACCAAAUGUUAGAUUUAAAAUUUAUUUUUGAAUGAUAUU